UUUGAAAUUUUACAAAACAAAAAAAAAACUAAUUUAAGAAAUUUUUUAUUGUACCUUUUGUAUCAGGGUUUAACUAAAUCACCCAAAAAUUUUGCUUUAUCGAUCAUUUAAGAUCUAAGAAACUUUAAAUAUAAAAAUUACAAAUUUUACUUAAAAUUUUCCUUAGAAAUGAAAAGUUUUCGAUUAAUUAGAUAUCUAUUUAUUUUUUUAUGAAUUUAAUUCAAUUCUAAAUCUGAAUAAAUUUAAAAGGGAUUAACUUUUUAAAUCCAUUAACUUUUUUAAGAAAAUAAAGAAAUUUUAUUGAAUUAAAUUACCCUAAAAUUUAAUAAUUUAAAUUUUUAAAAUAAUAUUUUUAAACAAGUUAAUUUUACAAAAAAUUAUUCUAAAUAAUACUUUUCAAAAAAUUAUGUUAAAAUUAAUAAAAAAGUCAAAUUAAAUUUAUGAACUCAACAAAAAUAUUUUUCAUCUGUUUAACAAAAACAUCUCCUCAAGUUUAUUUUUUAGGUAAAGUCUGCUCAAUGAAAAUUAAAUAGCCAAUGUUAAAGUAGCAUAAUAACUUGUCUUUUAAUUGAAGGCUAGAAUGAAAGGCUAAAUGGAAAAAAAAUUUUAUUAAUUUAAUCUUUUGAACUUUACCUAUUUGUUAAAAGGCAAAUGUAUAAAUUGUAGACAAGAAGACCCUAAGAGCUUACUUUUAAAAAUUUACCUAAAAUUUUUAAAAUUUUACUGGGAUAGUAAAAAAAUAAUAUUUUUUUUAAAAACCCUAAUAAAGGAAAAAAAAGAACAAAUCCAUUUAAAAAAUUAAGUUACCUUAGGGAUAACAGCGCAAAAUCUUUUAAGAGAACAAAUCAAAAAAGAAUAUUUCGACCUCGAUGUUGGAUUAAAAAUAAAAUUAAGAGAAAAAACUUAAAGUUUAGGUCUGUUCGACCUUUAAAAUUUUACAUGAUCUGAGUUCAAACCGGUUCAAGCCAGGUUGGUUUCUAUCUCAAUUAUAUAUUUUAAUGUAGUACGAAAGGACCCAUUAAAUUAAAUUCAUUAUCC
rnacentral:rRNA from 1 species